CUCAGGGAAACUUGAGCUAAUACCGAAUGUGCCCUUCGGGGGAAAGAUUUAUCGCCUUUAGAGCGGCCCGCGUCUGAUUAGCUUGUUGGUGAGGUAAUGGCUCACCAAGGCUACGAUCAGUAGCUGGUCUGAGAGGAUGACCAGCCACAUUGGGACUGAGACACGGCCCAGACUCCUACGGGAGGCAGCAGUGGGGAAUCUUGCGCAAUGGGCGAAAGCCUGACGCAGCCAUGCCGCGUGUAUGAUGAAGGUCUUAGGAUUGUAAAAUACUUUCACCGGUGAAGAUAAUGACUGUAGCCGGAGAAGAAGCCCCGGCUAACUUCGUGCCAGCAGCCGCGGUAAUACGAAGGGGGCUAGCGUUGCUCGGAAUUACUGGGCGUAAAGGGAGCGUAGGCGGACAUUUAAGUCAGAGGUGAAAUCCCGGAGCUUAACUUCGGAACUGCCUUUGAUACUGGGUGUCUUGAGUGUGAGAGAGGUAUGUGGAACUCCGAGUGUAGAGGUGAAAUUCGUAGAUAUUCGGAAGAACACCAGUGGCGAAGCGACAUACUGGCUCAUUACUGACGCUGAGCUCGAAAGCGUGGGGAGCAAACAGAUUAGAUACCCUGGUAGUCCACGCCGUAAACGAUGAUUGCUAGUU
rnacentral:rRNA from 1 species